UUUCUCUGUCUUUUCUUCUCACAAUUUCUCUUCUCAACCUCACUCACUCUUUUCUCUUCUCCCACUCCAGAUUCUCCUCUCUCUCUUUUUUAGUUCACUAUUACCAGGAAAUCAGCUGAUUAAUUCACCUCGGUGAAAUCAAAUAGAGAUGCAAGCAAUGGAGGCUGGGAAGAGUGACAAGGAGGAAUCUCACGUUCUUAAGCUCAAUAUCAUCUCGGCGCAAGGACUCAAAGAACCGACAGGAUUGCAGACUUUGUUGAUUCCUCCAACAAGCUCCGUAUUUGGAUUGAUCGAUCAAAAAAUUCUGAUCCGUAGGACUCUUCGGGAAGACCCCGUCUCUCCAAACGCCGAGGAUCUCGUUCUACUGAUCGGUGAGGAUUCUGCUGCACUUGGAUUAGGCAAACAGAAGCUUGCUUCUUGGCUUUAUUUCCGAUUGUCCUUGGAGUCGUUCUCUUCAUCCUCAACAUAGUUUGGAUCGAUCAUUCCACCAGUUUUGGAAAAUGCAUCGACACCGUCUCUAGCAUCUCCGAUACACCGGAGGUUGCUAUGUUAAUGCUUAUCCUCAUAUUUGCAACGGUACAUAGUGGUUUAGCUGGUCUCAAGGAUAUAGGAGAUAAAAUCAUAGUUCAAUGAGCAUUUUGUGUUCUAUUUUCUGGCAUCUCUCUUCCUUUAGCUAUGAACACCAUUGUGAGUACUCUCUUUCUCUAGAUGGUUGGAUAAAUCGUUUGGUGUUUGGCACAUAUACCCUGGAUUGGAAACACAGUAGUUGCAUCAGCUUCUCUCGGUUUGAUUGCACAACAUUUGUUUGGGGCUUGGAAUGAAGACAUGAGAUUACAUAAAAGAUACAGAGAGGCUUUUGAAGGCAUCAAGAAGAGAACAAGUGUGGUUCCUUUUGCUGCCAUUUUUGAAGGACGCCAAGUUUGAGGAUUACUACAAAGAAUUUAAGUAAGGUAGAUUACCAGAGUUUGUAAGUUCUUUGGUGAGAUGUUAUCUUGGAUGUUUUGUUUUAUCUAUUAUGUAUACUUCACAAAACAGGAAGAAAAAAAAGAAAUCAGCUAUCGUUUUUUCAUUUUUUGUUAUA